rnacentral:sRNA from 1 species
AAUAAAAAAAUAAUAAAGAAAAAAAAUAAUUUUAU